GACGAACGCUGGCGGCGUGCCUAACACAUGCAAGUCGAGCGAGUAGAUCCCUUCGGGGUGAAGCUAGCGGCGGACGGGUGAGUAACACGUGGGCAACCUGCCUCAUAGAGGGGAAUAGCCUUCCGAAAGGGAGAUUAAUACCGCAUAAGAUUGUAGCUUCGCAUGAAGUAGCAAUUAAAGGAGCAAUCCGCUAUGAGAUGGGCCCGCGGCGCAUUAGCUAGUUGGGGAGGUAACGGCUCACCAAGGCGACGAUGCGUAGCCGACCUGAGAGGGUGAUCGGCCACAUUGGGACUGAGACACGGCCCAGACUCCUACGGGAGGCAGCAGUGGGGAAUAUUGCACAAUGGGGGAAACCCUGAUGCAGCAACGCCGCGUGAGUGAUGACGGCCUUCGGGUCGUAAAGCUCUGUCUUCGGGGACGAUAAUGACGGUACCCGAGGAGGAAGCCACGGCUAACUACGUGCCAGCAGCCGCAGUAA
rnacentral:rRNA from 1 species